CAAUAUCCCCCUCCGCAGCCCAUGACAUCAUGGGUCACACACCGCGGCACGACAUCCAGUCUCACAGUCACUUCUGACGACACAAACAUAUUAAAUAAUAAAAAAAAAAAUCCUGAAUUGUGACUCGGGGUCCACGGGGAGAAGAGUCCAUUGGUCUUUACCCGGAGACGUCUGUAAUUCCUGAGACUCAUCUCCUCAUGGAGAAGACAACAGCAAUGACCUGAGUAGUGCAGAGGUGCGAGGUGCCUUCUGAUCGGCCACCCUCCGGGGACCUGGUUUACGCUUCUACGUGGAAAGCAUCAUCCGGCCAUCACCCAGAACGUGCUUCCCGGACCGAAUACACCUGAGAGAAACCGGCCUAAGAAAGUGAGGUAGAUCUGAGGGGGCGCCCCUGUACUGGUGAGGGGAGGGGCUGGCACUGGGCGGAGGACGCCCCUGUACUGGUGAGGGGAGGGGCUGGCACUGGGCGGAGGACGCCCCUGUACUGGUGAGGGGCUGGCACUGGGCAGAGGACGCCCCUGUACUGGUAAGGUGAGGGGGCUGGCACUGGGCGGAGGACGCCCCUGUACUGGUGAGGGGCUGGCACUGGGUGGAGGACGCCCCUGUACUGGGGAGGGGCUGGCACUGGGCAGAGGACGCCCCUGUACUGGUAAGGUGAGGGGGCUGGCACUGGGCAGAGGACGCCCCUGUACUGGUAAGGUGAGGGGGCUGGCACUGGGCAGAGGACGCCCCUGUACUGGUGAGGGGCUGGCACUGGGUGGAGGACGCCCCUGUACUGGUGAGGGGGAUCUCUGAAUAACCUACAGUAUAAAUUUAGAUAAAAUUCGGUAAAUCCCCUAUACUUCAAUCACACCCAAAGCUGCAGUCCCAAUUCUCCUCGCGCUCAGGCAGCUCUUCUGGGAGUAUCUGUGAUCACAGCCCAGAUGGAUUUCAAGUAUCAUCGGCAUAAUGGGAAGUACAGCUCUGGAGGUGACCGAGUGGAAGAUUUGAUGUAACAGCAGAGUUGUCAUUGCAGCUUUGGAGAUGACUGGAGUAUGAGACAUGAUGUGAUGCUCAGAAGCCCUUUCCUGUGGCCCCCAUAAAUAAGAGGACACUCUAUGGCCGCAUAAAGGGACCGCUCUGGGGCCCCCACAGGCGGCGCUCGUUUUGCCGCUGGUUCACUUUACUGCACCUUGUUCCCCUGUUACAAGAUGUGGCUGUUACACUACAGUCACAUCAAGAGCUGCAAUCAUAAUUCUGCACCGGGAAAUGUGGGGUUCAGCAGACUGUGACCAUCAUGCUG